rnacentral:rRNA from 1 species
UUUCCGUAGGUGAACCUGCGGAAGGAUCAUUACUGAAAGAUAACGGGGGUUUUGAGACUGCAUCUCAAUUGAUGUGUGCUCGACCCUUAUUCUUUUAAUCCACAUACACCUUUGUGCACUAUGGGACGAUCAAAGUCCCCUUAUUUUACACAAACACUAGUUAUAUGCAUGUAUUUUAAUACUCUAUGGAGUAAUGUACAACUUUCAACAACGGAUCUCUUGGCUUUCGCAUCGAUGAAGAACGCAGCGAACGUGCGAAACGUAAUGUGAAUUGCAGAAUUCAGUGAAUCAUCGAAUCUUUGAACGCAUCUUGCGCUCCUUGGCAUUCCGAGGAGCAUGCCUGUUUGAGUGUCGUGAAAUACUCUCAAUUUCAAUCUUUAUUGAUUGGAAUUGGAAUUGGAUGAUGUUGUGAAAUGAAUCAUAACUGAUCCUAAAUUCAUUAGCGGUCUGACUUGAUCACACACAAUGUGAUAAGAAAAAGCAUUGUUAAGAUUAAAAGGCAGAUUGCUUCUAAACUUUUAACUCAUGUCAUUUGACCUCAAAUCAGGUAGGACUACCCGCUGAACUUAAGCA